GGGAGCUAUGGUUAAUUUGUAGUUACAUUUAUUCAUUUAUUUAUUUAUUUUGAGGUUGUUUGGUUUUAUUUUUAGUAAAACCAUGGUUAAUUUCUGUAAGAGUUGAAGGUAACAGCAAACAGCUAAAUUACGUCUCCAUAUCUUCAAUUGUUUUGUUCCGUCAGCACAUACAGAAUUAUCUGAACACAUUCAUAUUUCUUUAGCAUCUCUCAGAGAAUGCAGGCACGGCAACAGAAGUUUCAGCAUGCCUUGGGAAUAAAGACGAACAAAAGCCAGAUCAACAGAAGAAAAAAAAUUCUGAAAAUUAUUCCUCUGUUGGAUUCCUGGCAGUCCGUGACAGACCCCCUCCCCCACAGGCAUCUCCUGGUGCCCGUAACCAAUGGAGAGGAUGACCACGCCCCCUGGGACCAGGUCGAUCUGGGUGGCACUGAUAGAAGUCGGUGAGGAGUGAUGGAUCCAGAAUAUCAUCUCUAUCCACCCAUGAUCUCUCCUCGGGACUAUACCCCUCCCAAUCCACAAAGUAUCGGAGUCGGCCACCCCGCCGUCGGGAGUCUAGGAUCUCUUUGACUCGGUAGAUGGUCUCAUUGGUGUCAAACUCGGGAGGAGAAGUUUCUUCGUGUUUUGUGAAAGGAGGGAGGAGUGGAUUAGUAAAUGGUUUGCGCAGGGAAACAUUGAAGGUAGGUGAGAUGCGGUAGUGAUCGGGGAGUUUGAGUUCAUAUGUCACUUCAUUGAUUUGCCUUGUAAUGGGGAAAGGACCAAUAUAGCGGGGACUCAGCUUCCUGCUGGGCAGUCGGAGACGAAUGUCCCGAGUGGAGAGCCAGAGUUGGUUGACGGUUGGUAUGUGUGAGCCGUGGUUAUCCCAUACCCUCUCGCUCUCACGGAACCAGUAGUCGACUGCGGGUACUUCAGAAGGCUCACCAGUCCACGGGAAGAAUGGAGGUUGGUACCCGAGCACGCACUGUAACAGUGUUAAUCCUGUCGUUUCCUGUCGCAGGGAGUUUUGGGCAUACUCGGCCCAGGGAAGAUACUGACUCCAGCUGUCCUGGUGUUUGUAACAGUAGGCUCUGAGAUACCGCCUGAUCUCCUGGAUCUUGUGCUCUGUCUGGUCAUUAGUCUGGGGGUGAUAAACUGAAGACAGACUGAUGGAUACACCCAACUGACGGAAGAAAUUACACCAGACCCUGGACAUGAACUGCGGCCCUCUAUCAGAAAUUAUAUCAUCAGAGAUUCCAAAAUUUGAGCUUGUAGGUUUUGGAGAAUCUAUCAACAACAACUAAGAUGUUGGUUAACCCAUUGGAGAAUGGAAGAUCCAUAGCAAAGUCUAUUCCGAGAUGGGACUAGGGUUGGUGUGAAAUGGGUAGAGGAACUAACUUGCCUUCAGGGGGAUGGCGCAGAGUGGAUGUGAUGGCACAGACCAAGCAACCCCUGAUGUAGCGGGGAACAU
ensembl:lncRNA